CCGGCCCAACCCUUAGGCAACUGAGGCGGUCGCCUAAGGCCCCGGCCCAAAGAAGGUCCACCGCAGGAAAUGCCUGAAAGACAAAAUGGAAAAAAAAGGCCCCCUGUGAAUUCGCCUUAGGCCGGCCCACUGUAGGGAAGGCCUCAAAGACAAAACGGCCUUAGGUCCCCAAAUACAUUGGGCCGCUCCUGGCCCAAGAUAUCCAGAUGACGCUGAUAAUGUCAAUCAGUUUAUACACUGGGACGAGAACCAAUUAUUCCGGGUAUCGAUAAGCCAUUUAAGACGAGCAUAGUUUUCUCUAUAGAAGACGGACCUGAUGUGCUUUUUAGGGCCGUUGCUGUUUUUACCAUGAGAGACAUCAAUCUU